rnacentral:lncRNA from 1 species
UUCCCACAAGCCCAAAUCACAAGAAACUGCUCUUACGGUGAAGACAAGUCUUCUGCAGGGCUUGAGGACGUUAUCUCGUUUGUUCACGCUGAAUCCUGUUGGGAGGCCUCCUCUUCAAGUUUUUAUCUCUACCAAUGCCUAAG